rnacentral:lncRNA from 1 species
UAUUAGCCCAUUGUUUCCACUACCAAUAAUUCUAAUUGGGUAUAUAACACUCUACUGCGUCACUGGUAUAACGAACGCGCAGCUGGUUAUCAGAAUUCAGAAACCCUAGUUUGUGAGUCUCUAAUUCUCCUUUGCUAUCAUCUCUGCUCUUGUUUUUCCUCAAUGAAUUUUGUAUCUAAUAUUAUUGAGUUGAUUUUUUAGAAGGUAAGAGGGAAAAAAAUGGCGGUGCCACUGUUGACCAAGAAGAUAGUGAAGAAGAGAGUUAAGCAGUUCAAGAGAGCUCAAAGUGACCGCAGAAUCACUGUCAAGGUAACUAACUCUUUUCAUGUUU